rnacentral:lncRNA from 1 species
UGGGGAGCUUGGCAAACUCGAUUCUGUAUCCUCUGCAAAAGAAUCCACUCUCUUCUGGCUUUGAAUGGCCUUGUUCAGAACCACAUCACUGUACUCCUGAUACAGCAACCUUGAGGAGUUGAUGAGUUUGGAGUGUCGACGUUUGAAGGUCCCCAUUGUAUCUUCAAGUUUCUUCUCUCGUAAUAUAACUGUUUCUGAACUGA